rnacentral:rRNA from 1 species
CCCUUAGACGUUCUGGGCCGCACGCGCGCUACACUGACGGAGCCAGCGAGUAUAAACCUUGGCCGAGAGGUCUGGGAAAUCUUGUGAAACUCCGUCGUGCUGGGGAUAGAGCAUUGUAAUUAUUGCUCUUCAACGAGGAAUUCCUAGUAAGCGUAAGUCAUCAGCUUGCGUUGAUUACGUCCCUGCCCUUUGUACACACCGCCCGUCGCUACUACCGAUUGAAUGGCUUAGUGAGGCCUCCGGAUUGGCUUUGGGGAGCCGGCAACGGCACCUCAUGGCUGAGAAGUUGGUCAAACUUGGUCAUUUAGAGGAAGUAAAAGUCGUAACA